CCUACGGGCGACAGCAGUGGGGGAUAUUGCACAAUGGGGGAAACCCUGAUGCAGCGACGCCGCGUGGGUGAAGAAGUAUUUCGGUAUGUAAAGCCCUAUCAGCAGGGAAGAAAGAAGACGGUACCUGACUAAGAAGCCCCGGCUAACUACGUGCCAGCAGCCGCGGUAAUACGUAGGGGGCGAGCGUUAUCCGGAUUCACUGGGUGUAAAGGGAGCGUAGACGGCCGUGCAAGCCAGGAGUGAAAGCCCGGGGCCCAACCCCGGGACUGCUCUUGGAACUGUGCGGCUGGAGUGCGGGAGGGGCAGGCGGAAUUCCUGGUGUAGCGGUGAAAUGCGUAGAUAUCAGGAGGAACACCGGCGGCGAAGGCGGCCUGCUGGACCGCGACUGACGUUGAGGCUCGAAAGCGUGGGGAGCGAACAGGAUUAGAUACCCUUGUAGUC
rnacentral:rRNA from 1 species